GCAUGAGAGUGGCGGACGGGUGAGUAACGCGUAGAAAUCUACCCCUAGGAGGACCAUAGCUCAUCGAAAGAUGGGGUAAUAGUCCAUGGUCUCCAAAAGAGUAAAGCAAUUAACUUUGCGCCAAGGGAGGAGUCUGCGUCCUAUCAGCUAGUUGGUGGGGUAAUGGCCUACCAAGGCAAUGACGGGUAGCUGGACUGAGAGGUCGAUCAGCCACAACUGCACUUAGACACGGGCAGUACACCUACGGGUGGCAGCAACUAGGAAUAUUGGGCAAUGGGCGCAAGCCUGACCCAGCGACGCCGCGUGGAGGAUGACAGCCCUCGGGUUGUAAACUCCUUUUAAUAAGCCUUUCACGGCUUAUAGAAUGAGCCCCUACUAACUACGUGCCAGAAGUCUCGGUAAUACGUAGGGGGCAAGCGUUAUCCGGAUUUAUUGGGCGUAAAGUGUGCGUAGGCGCCUCGACAAGUCGUAUCUUAAAGACCAAGGCUUAACCUUGGGAAUCGAUACGAUACUGCCGAGGUUGAGGAUUGUUAGGGAUGUCGGAACAGCUAGUGUAGCAGUGAAAUGCGUUGAUAUUAGCUGGAACACCAAAGGCGAAGGCAGACAUCUGGAAUUUUCCUGACGCUGAGGCACGAAAGCUAGGGUAGCGAAACAGAUUAGAUACCUGUGUAGUCCUAGCCGUAAACGAUGUCCGCUAGCUCUGUGUAUUUUUUAUACGGGGUGUAAGCUAACGCGUUAAGCGGACCGCCUGGGGAGUACGGCCGCAAGGCUAAAACUCAAAGGAAUUGACGGGGACCCGCACAACCGGUGGAGCGUGUGGUUCAAUUCGAGACAAAACGAAAAACCUCACCAGGGCUUGACAUGAUACCGUUUAUUUCCCAAGAAACUGGGAGAAAUCCGCAAGGAUGGUACCACAGGUGCUGCAUGGCUGUCGUCAGCUCGUGCCGUGAGGUGUUCCCUUAAGUGGGGAAACGAGCGCAACCCCCGUCCAAUGUUGAAUAUUCAUUGGAGACGGCCCCGGUUUUACCGGGAAGGAAGGAGGGGAAGACGUCAAGUCAGCAUGGCCCUUAUGCCCUGGGCUACACACACACUACAAUGGCGAAAAACAACGGGCUGCAAGCCGGUAACGGCAAGCUAAUCCCUGAAAUUUCGCCUCAGUUCAGAUUGAGGUCUGCAACUUGACCUCAUGAAGUCGGAAUCGGUAGUAAUCGCAGAUCAGCAUGCUGCGGUGAAUACGUUCUCGGGUCUUGUACACACCGCCCGUCAAGGCAGCAAAGUCGGUAGUAGACGAACUUCGACAAUUUGUCGUGGGAGUCUAAAAUCGGCGAUGAGGCUUAAGUCGUAACAAGGUA
rnacentral:rRNA from 1 species